rnacentral:lncRNA from 10 species
UCUACGUGCUCUAACAUGCACUGCAUGUAUCAUUAGCGUAUAAAAUCUCCACCUAGAGUGUGUAUUUUACUAUUAAAAUAUAAAAUUUUACUAUUAAAAUUAAAAUACAAAAUUUUACUAUUAAAAUUAAAAUAUAAAAUUUUACUAUUAAAAGGCCACUAUCGGCUAAACCUUGAACCCAGCUGCACAUGCGGAACCCUGGAGAAGUCUCUAUCCCCUCCAAGGCAGGAAUUUGUAGCUAAUAGCUUUUUGGAUUUUUGAUGUUGAUUAGCUGGAGAUUAGGGAAGCUACAUCAUGAAUAAAGGCCUUUUGUCCUCUUUUCUGGGCUGUAUUUGGUAUCGGAAACUUGUCACCAUCAGGCAGUCUGCUGGUAUCCUGUAAGACUGUUUAUCUUGCAAGAGAGUAAAGUGCACAACAGUGUAAGGGACACAGAACCCACUGCAAAAGGAGCUCUCGAGGCUUCACACAAGAGUGUAGGAGAUGCUGUGAUGUGACAAUCAUACUCCUUUCAGGACUGAAGGACUUAGCUCCCCAGCUGCUGGGGGAGCUGCCCACAGAGAGCAUCCUGCCAUCAGCUCUUUUCAAAAUCGCCUUGGCUGAAAAGAAUGGCCUGGUCCAAGGUCAUGCUCCUACCCACUGACAGCUCACAUCCAGCGACCAUUCAGCAAGGAUGAAUAACAGCUGAGGCAACCUCAGCCAAGCUCAGAAAAACUCUGAAGUGCAAUUUGGAUUUUCAGGCUCCCCAUUAAGAUAGUUGAGGAGAGUCAUCCUGCCUGAGGUCUUGCCUCUGCCCAUGGCAGCCUGCACCCAGUGACCAGGAGAUGCAUGCAUAUAAAACCCCAGUCACCUCACACCAAGCUUGCGGGACUCAGAAAGCCCAUCCUGCUUUGAAACUAUUUGUAGAGUUGGCUGAAGUCUUUGUUGAGAUUUCAACACAAACUUUCCCCUUGUCUAAUUCUCUGUUGCCCCUUGCUUUCCACAGGUAGUAAUCCUCAGACCACUACCUGAUACACCACCCGCGUGCUAAUUUUUGACUUAGAGUCUACCAUCUGGGGUAUCCAGUUUGCGACAAUGGGACCUUUUCAGAUUUAUUAGGCUGACAAGAAAGCUAUGAAGCUAUGUCAAAUGACAGGUAAACUUCACUCACUUUAAGUAUCAAUAACCUAAGGUGAAUGAAAAAGUAACGUUGGGGUGAAGUGGAAAAUACCUUAAGUGCAGAGAUUUUAUUUUUUCUUCCUAGAGAUGUGUAAGAGAUCUGAACAGACUCUUCCCUUUAUUUCAAUACUCAUGACUGGAGGUAGAAGAGGAAAAACUGGUGAAGGGGAUAAGGCUUAGAACAGAAAUUUUGGUCUCAUAUUUUACUCAUGUCUGAUAUUUUCUGACAAAUUAUUCACUCCUUGUAAUAUUCCUAUCAGGCGUACCCCACAAUCUGCUGUCUGCUCUACAUGCAUAUCUAAGAAGACAGGAAUCAUAGCCAUUUUGCUGUCUAGCACAUUCUCACAAAUCACCAUUGUACCUAACAAAAAAAGGUGGUCAGUGGCUAGAAAAUUAAAGAAUAAAUGCAAAGGAUUAACACAUGCACAGCUAACACCCAAAACACAUUAUUUGUAUUUAGAUAUUCACGUUUUCUGACAGAAACCUAGAUGUUCACCUUACAGACCUGAUCUUCUGUAUUCUCUUCUUCAUGAUGAUUAAGACCGUUCUUCCAAAAGUUACCGUAGGUAACUUUGAUACUGUUUGGCUCUGGGUCCCCAUCCAAAUCUCCCCUCCAAUUGUAAUCCUCACAUGUCAAGGGAGGGAUCUGUAAUCCUGAAUUGUGGAGGUGGGUGGGUGAUUGGAUCAUGGGGUCAGUUUUCCCCUUACUGUUCUCAUGAUAGUGAGUGAGUUCUCAUGAGAUAUGAUGAUUUUAAAAGCAUCUGGCAUUUCCCCUGCUUGCAAUUCUCUCCCCUGCCACUAUUUGAAGCAGCUCCUUGCUUCUCAUUCACCUUCUGUGAUGAUUGUAAGUUUCCUGAGGCCUCCCAAGGCAUGUGGAACUGUGAGUCGAUUAAACCUCUUUCCUUUAUAAAUUAUA